rnacentral:lncRNA from 1 species
ACAAACCCCACUGGCAGCAGUGCUCGCAUCCUGCACAAGGUAUGACUCUACUCUCCAUCUUACUCCACUUGUUAAAGCAUGAUUUUAGUAACUUCUUCUGCAUAUUCUUCAUGUAUAUAUACGUGUAUCACACAGAGAGAGAGUGAGUGUUGUGGAAGUGAGAAGUGAGAAGGAAGAAGAAGAGGAGGAGGUGGGGGUAGUGGACUGGUGGUGGAGACAGUGAAAGGAAGGGUUUAUAUAGUGUAGAAACGGCCGCUCUUUUGGAGCUUAAUAUUAAAUAGUUGACAAGACAGGGUAGCUGAGAGUAUGAAUCAUAAUAAUACUCAGAGGUGUAUAUUUGAGAAGGAAAAAAAAAAUUAUACGUAGUUAUAUGUGAUUGUCUGCCGUGCUAUACUUUUCUUCCAUUAAAGAAAAAAAAGAGAAACGGAUUUUGAUACGAAAGUGUACGAAUUGGAACAUGAAUGAUUGUAUGAUUAUAAAGUGAUAUAAAAAGUAUUACUGGUAAAAUACCCACAUAAGGAGCAAGCCCUUUGUGGGGUUUUCACUUGUAAGGAUGGUGCUUGAUCAGUGAUCUUUCGAAGUUCUCGAAGUUAAGACCCCACAAGUUGAGAGAGUGGGAAAGAUAAGAUAUGAAUAAGUAGGGAUGGGAUAAGCUUCUUGGGCAAAGUGCGACGCCACUUACUAUUGUUAUAUACACCAAUGGGACAUAGUAAAAUAUUUAAGUUUUUUGCUUCCAGAGAGAUGUCAUCUUUCUUUAGCUAAAUUCACUUGUGUUCUUGUUUGGACUUAAUUUUUUUAUUCAACUACGGGUGUACUGUUCGCAUCGGAUUGCCCACUCAAAUGAAAGUGCUCUGGGCAAAUAUUUGUUUAAUCCGGUUAAAUCUUUGACAGCUUUUAAUACAAUAGUAAUGUGAACUUGACCUAUUCUUUUAUCAUUUUCAGGUAAGGGUAUUCUUACUGUGCUAGGAAUGUGAUUUUCUAGUUGAGUUUCGUAAUCAACCAACUAAUAAUCAAUUGAAUAAUUGAGCAAUGUUGAGAAUUAUCAGCUCAGCUGGAAAGCACAAUUAGUGACUGAUAUACUGCAACUGUUCUUCAGGAAACAAAUGAGCUAAGCCACCACUAGCAUUAUUAUACAAAACAAUCACAAGUGCGUUCUGCCUUUAAUCUAGUUGGAUAAGUAAGCUUCAUUUUCAUAAUUAAUAAUUGCCCUAAAUGAUGAUGGUGAGUAUUAUUUGAAGAUUUCAGCAGUUUCUGUACUUUCCGUACAACAGUCUUGGUUGACACAGUAGUAGCAUAAUCUUUGCACUGCAUAUGGAUAUGGGAUGUGUUUUUGGUAUCUCUGCAAUCUGACCAUGAAUGCAGGAGAUGGGGCUAUGGCUUAUAAUGGGGAAGAAAUCAAGAAAGAAAAUACACACAAAUCUUUGGUUGAAGAGCCAGAGACGAGGAAAAGUAUGGAAAUCCACAUUUUGAAUCUUACAAGAAUCAUUCCAACCCCAAUGUAAUCUCAACAUUCAAUGUUUAUUUCUGACUCCAUCUCCUUACCAACCAAAUCCUAAGGGUCAAGGUUCUUUUAUAGUUAUGGCAGGUCAUCUGUUAUGUAUUUUCUUUUUCUUAUAUCAAAUUAUCCUGUUUUUUGACUAUUUUAAGUACUGGAAAGUCUACUCUUGUAAGCAAUUCUCAUGCUUGAAUGCUUCUGUAGGUAGACCAUUUAUUUACUAUUUGAAUUCUGAUGAUCAUUUUAAAAAAUAUUAAGAAUUUUUACCUUUAGAUCUCAUAUGCUCUUUGCAUGAUGAAUUGAUUUCUUUUUUCUCUCUCUCUCUUACCUGUAGAUGGAUUAAUUUCCUUCCCUUAUCAACAAGACAAGAAGAGACAUGGAUUGACAUCCUCUCCUUGUGUCUGAAAAGGAAAUGAGAAGGAAUGAGAAUGUGACAUCUAUGGAACUAGGAAGGUAUCUUUUCUUUCCUUCUUUUAAAAUAUCAAGGACUUCAAUUUCUUGAAACCUACUUCAGUGAAUAUAUACAAUUAUUAUACAGCAUGCUCUGAGUUAUAUCUUCUAAAUUUAUACAAGUACAAUUAAGUUCUAAUUAAUAUAUGGAUCUUUUUUCAAUAGUUAUUCCAUUUAAAACUAAUUCUUUAUUAACAUCUAAAAUUUAUAAACUUAGCACAUUUUCAUGUAGAGACUUCUUUACAUCGAAUAUGACCAAACCAUUUUAAUUGAUCUUACAUGCAUUAUCUAUUAGAUAAGGCCAUUUUUAAGUUUAUCCAUUAUUAUAAUACCAUACAUUUAUUUUUCACAUUCACACUUUUGUCACAUCCAGUGGAUAUGUUAUUAUUAUAAAUGGUGAAUUUCAAUAGAAUAAGAUGAAAUGAAUGUCACUUUCACAGCCCACUUCCAAUUUUCUACUGAAUGAACUCACCCAAAAGCUUGCUUCCAAUUUUCUACUGAAUGAACUCACCCAAAAGCUUGUGUCUUUUAGUGUGGAAAAGACAAAUGGAAAUGAAAGCAAGAAAGGGGAUUACAUAUUUCUCCAUUUUCUUGGGUAGGUUGUAAGUGCUGAGGUAAUUUUGUGCAGAGAUGAUGAAAAGCCAGCACAUUGGUUCAUCCCCUGAAGACAAUUUUGCUGUACAGUGGUCGGCUCUAAAGGAAGAAGAGACCCUCUUUUGUACACAUCAUAUGAAUGAAAAUGCCUACAGUUUUGCAGACAUUGAGAUGGAUACAGCCUUUUGAUAAUUCUGAGUUGUCCAUUUUCUAUUCUGUCAGCUGUAGCUUUCCUUUAAGAGACUUGUUAGACUUGUGUGAACUCUCUUCAAUUCCAGUCUUCUGAGCUUGUAUGAUUAAUACAAUGUGGCUCAAAGUUUUAAGAUGAAUUAUGGGUUUGGAU